UUGAAGAAAUUCGGUUAGAGACCAAACCCGACGACAAAUCUCCCGGUUUCGAACGCGCCAUAGCAACUGCGCAUCCCCUGGACUACAAGUGACGUCAUCAAAGGGGGCCAAACAGACUCUUCGCAUAAGCAUAAGGAGGUAGACCAUUGAAUGAGGUGGAAACAUAAGGGAGUGGGAAAAGCAUGGCCCACUCUUCAGGCAGCGAAAGCAGAAUCGAGUACUGCAAUGUGGGCACACAAUAUUUGGGCAGCCCCAACCAGUAUGAGUCAGAAGGGCUUUGCAGCGAGGACAGGCCCGAAAGAAGGGACAUCUGAACACUGAGCUGGUAUUGGCAGUGAUGGUCUGAUUCGACAUGAGAGCAGCUCGGACUGCGCACCCAGGAAGAGUGCAGGAGCUGCCCCCGGUCAUCCCCUUGGGCCACUCACGCCUGCAGGCCGAGCAGAACUGGUACACACGCCUUAGCUCUUCGGAGCAAGCGGAACACACUGAACGUUGGCUAUCAAUUUUCUUACCACUGCACUUCUGGCAACGGGGACACUAUGGACAAGAAAGGGCGGCAAAAAGACACACAUUUAUAACCAUAAGGACAUUUACACUCCAAAAAAUAUGUAAAUGUAAUAAAUGUUUUAUUUAUGUAAUAGAACAAUCUUCAAAAAAGUGCAGUAUCCCAUUUGGUUCUUAGAAAAUGGAUGUAGGUUCUUAGGAGGCAGCCUAAAUAAAAAUAUCUGAAUAGCUACUUCAGCUAGUACAGCACAUCUGAUGACCUUGUGUAGCCACUUAAACUACCUCACUUAGUCCUGCUAAAUGUUGUAAUUGGGUUCUUAAUUCUGUAUUGGUGUAACAGGAAUUAUAGGAAGGUGGUUACCUGUAACAUUGAGCCACUCAUAAUCCCAGACACGGCUGAGGUGGGAAUUCAGAAAUAUGUUUGGUAAUUUACUGAAAGGAAAAAUAGUGGUUUAGAUAGGGUAAUUAUAAUUGCCUAGAGGCAACGCAAAACACCCCUUGAUAUUUUGUUUAUCUGAUAUUGAUUUUGCAGUGAUGCUGUUAAUAUUGAAGAGUCUAACAUAAGUAGGCUAACAUAGGCAGUCACAACUAAUAGACAUGUAGUUGAGAGAAGUAAAAAUACCAACCAUUUUGCCCUGCCCAUUUUGAAAGCAUAUGAAUUCAGCAAAACUUUAAAAAAAUUAUUGGCAAGACAGGUACUAGAUAAGGCACAGCCUGUGAAUAGUUGCCUAUGUCUUACUCAGUCGUAAUCAACCAAGGUAAAAUUAAAGGAAGCAGCAGUAGCUUUGAUGAGCAGGUGGCUUCUGACUACUAACUUAACCUGCUUUUAGUGCUUUUAUUUAACAGUUGGCUGAUUUCUGAUGGAUCCCAAAAGGGAUGUGUAGACAAAAUCAUUUCCAUACCUUAUUUUCUCCUCUUGCUAACAGGUGAACCGUUGACAACCUUCAGUGUUGCUCGCUCAAUGCAAAAGUGAAAGCAAGUAUAUUUGUUUCCUCAAUCACUUUGCUUUCACUUUCUCUCAACUUAUUUUUAGCCCCACAAAAUAAAUCCUUCCCUGACCUAAAA